AUGUUUAACAAAUUACUGAAGGCCAAACAUAGGCUCACUAAGGGCUACAGUAAUAGAAGUUGGGUGAAGGGUGUAUGGGAGCUUCCUGGACUAUCUUUGCAACUCUUCUUUAAGUCCAAAACUAUUUACAACAAAAAUAACUGGGGACUCAUGAGUGCUACCGAACGUGGACAGAGGCAAACUGAAAACAUGUCUCCUGGGAUGUCUCCUACCCCAGGCAUGCAUGGAACUCUCAAAAGAAACAGUGGCAAUAAAGAUGACGUCCCUCGCCAAGACUAUGGGGAAGAAAAAAAAAAAAGAAACUCUAAUGACUAAGUCAGUCCACAGACCCAACAAACAGAAGUUUUCACCCCUGAAAAAGUAUGUAUACAAUUAUUUUGCAUUUCUAGAAAUCAGAAUUGAGGUUCACUUCACAUUAAUGAAAAUAAAUGCAGAAUGAAGGCACGGGAUGCAUGGACACAAAAAAAACAGAAAACCCAUUGGUAAAUUUAAGCAAGAAUUGACUAUAAAAAUAAUGAGGAUGGGGGCACGAGGUAUAUGAGAACUCCAAGUACUUUCCACUCAAUUUUGCCAUGAACCUAAAAUUGCUUUAAAAAAAGUUUACUUUUUAAAAAAUAAAUACAUGAUGAUAACUUUUUUGUAUGGAAAACAAAAUGGAAUUAAAAUACUAGAUAAAAAUAGCACAGAAGAUGGAAAAGCUACUCAAAGCAGACCACGGAAGAAAUAUUUAAACGAAGUCAAAGAAUUCUAAAAUUAUUCAUCUUAUUCAGGAAGAAGACAGAAAUAUUAAUUUACUUUAGACAUUGUUGAAAAAUAUAUAUGUGACUAACUGCUUCCUUUUAAAAAUCAGCUUCAAGAUGACAACACACACUGAUACAAAUAGAAGAACUUCCUCUGAAAAAAACCUUAAAACUGAGCAACUUCUACACACGGGCAAAGCAGAAGUCCACAGCAAGCAGGUGGGAAAUGUUGGGACACAGGCCCACUCCCCUCCCCGCAUCCCACAUUCGGCAGGAGACCCUCAGAAGGAAACAGCACCCAGAACACCUCUGAGGAGCAAAGGAUUUAAAUGAACCCCAGCCUUUAAGAACUGCACCUGAAAGAUGAGCCCCCAAAAUGUCUAGCUUUGAAAAUCAACUGGGGCUCAUGUGCCAAAGACCCAGAAGACUGCAGGGACCUGAGCAAACCCGGGUUUGCCUGACCCGGGGCCCAGCACGGAGCACCCGCUGGGCACCCAGACUUUGCGUGGAGGAGGCUCCUCUGCUUGUCCCGGAACUUCAGCCUGAGGCGCAGGCCUCUCAUUUGACACACAUUCGGGGUCUUACUGGAGUGCUCUCUGCCAGGGAAGACUGCUGGCCAGAUCUCUGUACCUGCUCUCCGCCUCGCCUCAGCCGGGCACCAUGUUAGCGCCUCAGAAUGCCCGCCGUCUCCCGGAAGCGAGCUCUUCACGCCUGCAGCUGCCCAGGUCGGUCUUCACAGCUGCCGCCAAAUGAAGUCCGUUGAUCACCUGGCUCUGUGGGCAAUUGCCCGUUGGCCAAAAAAGCCAAAGCUUAGGAAGGUUGGAAACACGCCAUGUCUCAGAGCUCGUAAUGGUGGGCUCUGAAGAAAACUUGGGACUCCAGAACUCAGGCUUCCAGAAGUAAAUGCUGUCUUCUUGUAUUCGUCGGUUUGAGCGAAAAGCCCUGAAAUGGGCAUUUUCUUUAAGUCUGCAGUUCCUAUCUUGGAGUGACUCCUCAUUUACCUCAAGAGAAUAAUCUCAGGCAUCUACAAGUAUUGAGCUACAAAACAGUCCUGACAGUUUAAAAGCGGAUUAAAGAUGAUUUUUUCCUCAGCUUUUGCUGAUCCACAUGUUCUAUAAAAAGAUAAAUUACUUUGGGGUUUUUUAAUAUUUAUUUUUAUUUAUUUGGCUGCAAGGGGUCUUAGUUGUAGCAUGUGGAAUCUAGUUCCCUGACCAGUAAUUGAACUCCAGCCCCCUGCACUGUAAGUACAGACUCUUAGCCACUGGACCACCAAGGAAGUCCCAUUUUCAUAUUUUAAAAAGAGGUUUUUAAUACCGGAAAGGAACUUAAGAUGUUUAAUAUCCUUUCAUGGUCUACCAUCAUGUGACUUUAUUUAUGGUAGGCAAAUACUGGAUUUUAAGGUACAUUAAGUCUCAAGCUAACACAAGCCUGUUGAAAACAUUAGAGAUUAACAUUUUUGAAGCUAUUAGAUUUUAUAGUCAUAAUUAUCCUGUCUUGUCUGUGUUGAUGACAAAAACACAGACAAAUUGCUGAUGAUGUUCCGUCCUACCCCCAGCCUGUUUUUUGCUUUGCAAACUUUCCUUCAUCUUUCAAGUUCCACUCCCUGGUCCCUAGGUCUGGACUUCCACAAAACAGGAGGCACAUCUGAAUCUUAACCUUAAAUCUUAAAGUAACCCGAUGUGUUACUUUACCUGAUUCCCAAUUAAACUAAAAGAUCCUUGAGGACAGAAGCUAGUUCUAUUUUUUUUUCCUCUGUCUUUUUUUUAAUUGAUGUAUAGUAUAUAUUUCAGGUAUACAAUAUAAUAAUUCACUAUUUUUAAAGUGAAUAUAGUUAUGGGAAAAUAUUGGCUAUAUUCUCGGUGCUGUACCAUAUAUCCUCAUAGUUUGUAACUCUUAAUCCUCUACCCCUAACUUGUCCUUAUCUGGGAAUCUGUUUCAUUUUUUAAAUUCCACACAUAAGUGAUAUUAUACAGUUAUUUGUCUGUCACUGUCCAACUUAUUUCACUAAGCAAAUUACCCUCCAAGUCCAUCUGUGUUGUUGCAAAUGGCAAAAUUCCAUCCUUUUUAUAGCUAACUAGUAUUCCAUUGUAUAUAUGUAUCACAUCUUCCUUAUCCAUUCAUCUGUUGAUGGACAUNNNNNNNNNNNNNNNNNNNNNNNNNNNNNNNNNNNNNNNNNNNNNNNNNNNNNNNNNNNNNNNNNNNNNNNNNNNNNNNNNNNNNNNNNNNNNNNNNNNAUAUAUGUAUCACAUCUUCCUUAUCCAUUCAUCUGUUGAUGGACAUUUAGGUUGCUACCUAUCUUGGCUAUUGUAAAUAAUGCUUCUAUGAACAUUAGUAAGCAUAUAUCAUUUCAAAGUAAUGUUUUUGUUUUCAGAUAUAUAACCAGGGAUGGAAUUGCUAGAUCAUAUGGUAGUUCUGGGCUCCCCAGCUGGCUCAAUGGUAAAGAAUCUACCUGCCACUGCAGGAGACACCAGAGACUCGAAUUCAAUCCCUGGGUGGGGAAGAUACCCUGGAGGAGGAAAUGGCAAGCCACUCCAGUAUUCUUGCUGAGAAAAUCCCCUGGAUAGAAGAGCCUUGAAGGGCUACAGUCCGUGGAGUUGCAAAAGAGUCAGACAUGACAGCAUGCACACGAGCACACACAGUAGUUCUAUUUUUAGUUUUUUGAGACACUGCCAUACUCUUUCCACAGGGGCUGCACCAAUUUACAUUCCCACCAACUGUGUACAAGAAUUUCCAUUUCUCCACAUCCUCUCCAGCAUUUGUUAUUUGUGUUCUUUUUGAUGAUAGCCAUUCUGAUGUGUGAGGUGAUACCUCAUUUUCGUUUUGAUUUGCAUUUAGCAAUUUUGAGCAUCUUUUCAUGUGCCCGUUAGCCAUCUGUAUGUCUUUAGAAAAAUGUAUAUUCAGGUCUUCUGCCCAUUUCUUAGUUGGGUUGUUUGUUUUUUGAUGUUGAGUUGUAUGAGUGGUUUAUGUAUUUUGAAGAUUAACCACUUAUUGGUUGUAUCACUUGCAAAUCUUUUCUUGCAUUCAGUAGGUUGCCUUCUCAUUUUGAUGAUGGUUUCUUUUGCUGUGCAAAGGCUUGUAAGGUUUAUCAGACCCCAUUUGUUAAUUUUUGCUUUUGUUUCCUUUGCCUUAGGAGACAGAUCCUAAAACAAUAGUACUACAAUUUAUGCAGAGGGUAAAUCUUAAUAGACUUUUUAUUCCCAGGUACUAGCACAGCUUAUUUGUGAAUGAAAAGGAAUUAGACACUCAUUAUGANNNNNNNNNNNNNNNNNNNNNNNNNNNNNNNNNNNNNNNNNNNNNNNNNNNNNNNNNNNNNNNNNNNNNNNNNNNNNNNNNNNNNNNNNNNNNNNNNNNAAUUAGACACUCAUUAUGAAUCAAUAGAAGGUAACUCUGUUUCUUAAUAAGACUUGGCACCCAAUGUCAGUGUGGAUUUUUUUCCCCACACCAAGCAGCUCCCCAGCACCAGCGGGGUGUCCUACAGUUUAACUCAAUCCUAACACUAACUACUGGGAGAUAACAUCAGAUUCCUCAGAUUAAGUGCUCAGUCCUAUAAGACUGCUGCCACCACCACCCUACUUUAGAUGCAAGUUCAGAUUGUCACCUGUGCUUCUGACCAACUGGCUAUAAUCUGGAUAUUCCAGUAACCUCCUCUCUAGGUUCAGUUAAUUUGCUAGAAC
rnacentral:lncRNA from 1 species